UUCAAAUACCUAAGUCUAAAGGGGUCAUUU
rnacentral:piRNA from 1 species